rnacentral:tRNA from 1 species
GGCUUUAUAGUCAUUCAUGAUAUUAGACUGCAAUUCUAAAGGAGUAGAUUUCUACUAAGGCUU